rnacentral:rRNA from 1 species
GCCUACAUGAAGCUGGAGUUACUAGUAAUCGCAGAUCAGAAUGCUGCGGUGAAGGCGUUCCCGGGUCUUGUACACACCGCCCGUCACACCACGGGAGUUGGAGACGCCCGAAGCCGAUUAUCUAACCUUUUGGAAGAAGUCGUCGAAGGUGGAAUCAAUAACUGGGGUGAAGUCGUAACAAGGUAGCCGUAUCGGAAGGUGCGGCUGGAUCACCUCCUUUCUAAGGAGA